UUAUUAUGGGAGUAUCUGGAACCUAAGACUUCUAUGAAACUUGUGUUUUAGGAACUCAAAUGCUUCUGCUUCGUGACAUACUAGUGCCAUUGCUGUCAAGUCUUCGCAUCGUUGUACCUUGGACAGAGUUGCUUUGUGCAGGGGGUGUGGGCUGGGGGAGUACAGACAGACUGCUCUGCGGGCAGUCUUCUGAGAGGAAAGACAUUCAAGGGGCUGGGUGGCCAUCUGGUCACAUUCAUCCUAUACUUUAAUGCCAUGUGGCUUGAUGACCUUUGCAGUGCUAUUUCUGGAAUGGACCCUGAUUGUUAUGACCUGUUAAAGGUGAACUCUCGAGCCAUGUAGACAUGCUGUUACAGCCUGUCCAGAGUGAGGUCAUGGGAGCAGCUCUAAGUCAGGGUCCAAUGUAGCUUAGAGACACAUACAUGGUGAAUGGCGGCUUUAGCUAAUCAUGCCCACCCCUUCCCUGCCCUCUGUCCCCUUUCCCCUCUCCUCCCCUCUCCCUGCCCUCUCUACCCACCGCUGUCAUUUAUGCUACACUGACCAACUUAAAACGACUUUGUCACAUCCCUUAGAGAGACAGUCACCCCCUUUCCUCAGCAUUCUUACAACGCUGUGCCGCUUAAGUGUUCCUGUCUGAUACCUGGAAGAAAAGCUAUACAAUCAACACUGCAGGAAGAGGGAAUGUGGCUCCACGGCUGCGUGUCCUCGUGGAACGUUUUCUUCUGCUGCUUUGAUGCUAAGGUGACUUGGUGUUUGGUGUCACCUGAGAGCUCAGAUACUGUCACCAGAAAGCCCUGGGUCAUCACCCAUCUACAGAGCUUUGCUAGCUUAAUUUUUGACAAGUUUGUAUGCGUUUUGUCUUUGGUUGCCUUGUGUUUAUUAGUCAUCGGUGUUGACAUUUCAAAUUGGAGAUAUAUAAGGUAUACUUAGGCAUUCAGUUAGCAAGAGGAAGAAAUAAAAUGGGAGCAGGCUGUUGGGAUAAGAGGAUGGGGUGUGCAGGCCUGGUUAGCACUUGGAGCUCUCUGUCUUCAGGGCAGCCCAUGGCCCUUACAUCCUGAGAACAACAGCAGCGCCACCGCAGAGAUCGCCACAAGUUCAGCAUUUUGUUGGUUUUUUAAAGAUUUAUUAACUUUAGACUUUCUCUGGGUCUGAAGCCAUUCUGGUCAGUAGAGUAAGUUCCAGGACUACAUAGUGAAACUCUGUCUUUAAGAAAAAUCAAAACCAAGAAAUAAAUUUUACUAAUUUUG
rnacentral:lncRNA from 1 species